CUCUUCUCUGAGGCGGCAGUGGGGAAUGUUGCACAAUGCAGGAAAGUCUGAUGUAACAACGCCGCCUGAGUGGUGAAGGUUUUCGGAUUGUAAAGCUAAAUCCUUUGGGAAGAGAAGGGAGGUACCCGAUGCGGAAGGCAAGGCCUAGUACAAGCCAGCACCCGCGGUAAUAGGUAAGUGGCGGGGGUUGUCCGGAUCUAUUUUGUUUAAGGGAAAAGGAGGUGGAGGUUUAACUCAAAUGUGAAAACCCAGAUCUUAACUUUGGGCCUGCAUUUGCAAUUGAAUAUGUAGAGUGCGAGUGAGGGAAGCGAAAUUCGAAUUCGAGGGGUGAAAGUGGUAGAGAUUGAGAAGAAUACCAAUGGCGAAGGCGGCGUUCUCUAUCGUAACUGACACUGACGCAGGAAAGAAAGGGGGGCGAGCAAACGCAGGUACCCUACCGUUCUCUCCACACUGUUGAGUAUUAGGUAUAGGAGGGAUCGACCCCUUUCUGCCGGAAGUAACAC
rnacentral:rRNA from 1 species